rnacentral:rRNA from 1 species
UCCCAGACUCCUACGGGAGGCAGCAGUGGGGAAUAUUGCACAAUGGGGGAAACCCUGAUGCAGCGACGCCGCGUGAAGGAAGAAGUAUCUCGGUAUGUAAACUUCUAUCAGCAGGGAAGAAAACAGACGGUACCUGACUAAGAAGCCCCGGCUAACUACGUGCCAGCAGCCGCGGUAAUACGUAGGGGGCAAGCGUUAUCCGGAUUUACUGGGUGUAAAGGGAGCGUAGACGGCAGAGCAAGUCUGAAGUGAAAGCCCGCGGCCCAACUGCGGGACUGCUUUGGAAACUGCCCGGCUAGAGUGCUGGAGAGGUAAGCGGAAUUCCUAGUGUAGCGGUGAAAUGCGUAGAUAUUAGGAGGAACACCAGUGGCGAAGGCGGCUUACUGGACUGUAACUGACGUUGAGGCCCGAAAGCGUGGGGAGCAAACAGGAUUAGAUACCCCAGUAAUC